GGGGGUGUAGCUCAGUGGUAGAAUGUGUGUUUUUCAUGUAUAAGGUCCUGGGUUCAAUCCCCAGCAUCUCCA